ACGGCCACUUUACGUUGAAAUACCGGUUCCUGUAGUACCACCGAAGUUAAGUAACGUCGAGCCUAGUCAGUAACUAGCUGGAUGACCGCUUGGGAAUACCAGGUGCUGUAAG